GACGAACGCUGGCGGCGUGCCUAAUACAUGCAAGUAGAACGCUGAAGGAGGAGCUUGCUUCUCUGGAUGAGUUGCGAACGGGUGAGUAACGCGUAGGUAACCUGCCUGGUAGCGGGGGAUAACUAUUGGAAACGAUAGCUAAUACCGCAUAAGAGUAGAUGUUGCAUGACAUUUGCUUAAAAGGUGCAAUUGCAUCACUACCAGAUGGACCUGCGUUGUAUUAGCUAGUUGGUGAGGUAACGGCUCACCAAGGCGACGAUACAUAGCCGACCUGAGAGGGUGAUCGGCCACACUGGGACUGAGACACGGCCCAGACUCCUACGGGAGGCAGCAGUAGGGAAUCUUCGGCAAUGGACGGAAGGCUGACCGAGCAACGCCGCGUGAGUGAAGAAGGUUUUCGGAUCGUAAAGCUCGGUUGUAAGAGAAGAACGAGUGUGAGAGUGGAAAGUUCACACUGUGACGGUAUCUUACCAGAAAGGGACGGCUAACUACGUG
rnacentral:rRNA from 1 species